UACGUAGGGUCCGAGCGUUGUCCGGAAUUAUUGGGCGUAAAGAGCUCGUAGGCGGUUUGUCGCGUCGGCUGUGAAAGCCCGGAGCUCAACUCCGGGUCUGCAGUCGAUACGGGCAGACUUGAGUGUUGCAGGGGAGACUGGAAUUCCUGGUGUAGCGGUGAAACGCGCAGAUAUCAGGAGGAACACCGAUGGCGAAGGCAGGUCUCUGGGCCGAUACUGACGCUGAGGAGCGAAAGCGUGGGGAGCGAACAGG
rnacentral:rRNA from 1 species